UACGUAGGGGGCUAGCGUUGUCCGGAAUCAUUGGGCGUAAAGAGCGUGUAGGCGGUCCGGUAAGUCCGCUGUGAAAGUCGGGGGCUCAACCCUCGAAUGCCGGUGGAUACUGUCGGGCUAGAGUGCGGAAGAGGCGAGUGGAAUUCCUGGUGUAGCGGUGAAAUGCGCAGAUAUCAGGAGGAACACCAAUGGCGAAGGCAGCACUCUGGGACGUGACUGACGCUGAGACGCGAAAGCGUGGGAGCAA
rnacentral:rRNA from 1 species